CCUUGCCCUUCCCGCACUGCUCCUCUGUCUCAAACUCCACCUCCAAUGCCACCUUGUUCCUCAUUACCGCCUCCUCCGCUUUCAACUCAACCCCCGGGCGGCACCUUCUCUUGAACCUGCUCCUCUCCCUUACUCCUCGAAACUUAUCAGUACGUUUCCAUUUAAGAUUAAACCUUCUGGAGAUCCUCCUGUGUUUCUAGGACCAAAGCAGAGUUACAAGCUAUUGCAAAGGGACUUCCUAAGGUAACUAGGGAUUCUAAUCAGUUUGCUGAGGAAUUCGAUAUUACUAUUCAAGCCCAUCAGCCUGGGUUUUCUGAUUUGUACCAGCUAAUCCAUAUGUUGGUUGGUGGAGGCCAAGCUAGACAUUGGAUGAGGAUUGCUGGAUGGGAGCAUCCUGAAAGGGAUUUAGAAAAGCCAAUCUCUAAAUUACUGAGGAAGCCAGGGAACCUGCUCGAAAGCUGCACAGAGCAAUCCCUGAAGCUUUUCCGAGGUCUAUUGAUUGGAGUAAAAUUCACACUUACUCACAGAAGCCUGACGAAUCUGUUCAUGACUAUUAUAAUAGGUUUCAGGUGGUUUUUAAGGCAAAUUAUGGUCUUCCUUCAGAUGUUGACAUCACACGUGUAACUUUUAAUUCUUUAUGUGUCAAUAGGGUGAAUAAAAAUCUUUCCUUCCUGGUUAGGAGAUCCAGGAUGAGAUGGGGAACUAGGUCUACCCUAGACUUUGUAAAUUUGGGUAAUGCACUUGCCAGUACGCGAGGUGGGCCACCUGGAAGAUUGCCAAGACAUCUGACUUUCAGCAGUAGCAAAUGAGAGGCCCUGAGGAAAAUCAGAGAACUCCAACUUUUUGCCACUACUGCAAGGAACAAGGACAUUGGAAAAGGGAUUGCCAUAAGUUGAAGGGUACAAGACGCUCUCUGCCAACUAACUGGUCUUUUUCAGGCCUUCCUAAUUCCCAGUGACAGGGCUCUGAGGAAUUACAGGGGCUUUUCUAGUCUUUCUCCUUAAUCAUCUUGGAGAAACAGGUUUACGUAUCUGAACCUAUUCCCUUUUGUCUGGGUCCCUUAAGAGAUGAACAUUAACAUUGUUUUCUCCUGAGUUCUUCUGCCCCUACCCAUUUCUUAGGCAGAGACUUCUUAAAGAAGUUAUCAUGCUGGAUUUUCUUCUUUCUGAGACUGAGGAAGUCCCUCGUGACUGCCUGACAUUAACAGAUCACCUUCUGACUCCUCGUGAUGAUUUACAGAAGACCCCUCUGGGUAAAGCUGAUUUCUCAUGGUUUACUGAUGGUUCGUACUUAAAAAACGACAGUGCUCUCCUUCUGAUGCUGGUCAACACUGGACACCAGCUGUUUCCUGAUCCAUGCACUCUUCCCCAUGACUUGAGAUGACACACAGAAGAGGCCCUUCUGACAUCGAGGGACAAAAGGCUGAAGAGACACCGAGGGACUAGAGGCUGAACAGACAUCAAGGAACAAAAUGCUGGACACUGGAAAACCGGAGACUAAAAGACCUGGCUGUUGAUCAAUUAUCUUUUAGAGAAAAGAUCUUGAUCAAGAGGGUGGAAUGAUACAAGUGAACUGGCAUCUUAAGAUGUUUAACCAUAGAGCUGGGAGGACUGUGGGUGGAGCUGGGCCCCUUGUUAACUCUCUAGUCCUGACUUCCUGUUAAACUUUGUUGUGACUUCCAGCGGGAGGGAUUCUAAUAAACGGAAAGGCCAUCUUGGAAUCAGGGAUUUUUGCCGAUGUGCGGCCAGUUGGAGUGCUGGUUGGAAGUGUGCAUUUGCACACUACUGGGGUGACCUUGUUUCUUUUUCUUUUCCUGAAUAAACCACUCUUUUGAUGGA